UACAGGGGGUGCAAGCGUUGCUCGGAAUUACUGGGCGUAAAGCGUGCGCAGGCGGUCCUGCAAGUCGGGGGUGAAAAUCCGGGGCUCAACCCCGGAAUUGCCUCCGAAACUGCCGGACUUGAGUACGAGAGAGGGUUGCGGAAUUCUUGGUGUAGAGGUGAAAUUCGUAGAUAUCAGGAAGAACACCAGUGGCGAAAGCGGCAACCUGGCUCGAUACUGACGCUCAUGCACGAAAGCGUGGGGAGCAAACAGG
rnacentral:rRNA from 1 species